ACUCCAAGUACAUCCUAUUCCUAUCAACAACAUUCGAGUACCCAACACAAAGGAUAUAUAAUGAACUGCUAUUUACUUGGACCAAGUCACUGUGCCAUGCAGACCGUCACAGUUGAGCCAAUUAGAAAGCUGUAUUCCAGACCCUCCAGCAUCGGCUUCUGGCAGGACCAUUGCUCCUCCUCAGGAUCAGCAAUACCAGCCUGAGAGGAGAGUACAGUGCAGCCCGCACUCUCCUGUUCUUAUUUUGGAGAGGCUGGAGAUUUAGCCAGAGAUUACUACCCCUAUCAUUCCCCAGACUCCUGAUUUCUCCCCCGGCCCAGAGGAGGAGCACAGAGGCCAAGGUUCAUUCAUGCUGCCACCCCAUGCCCUGAUGCCACCUACUGCUGUACCGCCUGUCCGAACUGUGCAGGAAAUCAUUCUGAGGGAGCUUAUAGAAUUAAGGCGUGGCAACCGAAAACUACGACGAAAGGUCAAAAGGCUUACCCGGCUUACCCAUCAGUUGAGCAGACAGCAAACUGACAGUUUUAAAAUUAUUUUGGCCCGGUCAAGCCAACAACACAAUUAGGCAUUGGACCGAGUUAGAAUUACGGUACUUGAAGAUAUUUCCAGACACAUUGCUCCAAUGCCUGGGAGCUACGAUGAACAUAUAACCAGCAAAGAAGUUUUGAAAAAUGAAGGCUAGACCUUCCUCUGCCCCAGGACCCAUGCCAUCUCAUCUCACAUUGUUAUGCAAAAUGUAUCUUUUUACAGUUCCUUGGUUUUGUUUGAAACGUUUUUUUAUGCUGCCAAGUUACUACCUACCCAGCAUGUGUGUUUGUCAUUUCUAAAA